ensembl:lncRNA
CAAUGCUUGGCUUCACGGGCAGUUGAAGCAGUUGGACGGGUUGAGGAAGUUGUCCCAUUAUGAUUAAGUCUCACCGGCACCUGGGCUGGGACACAGGACUGCAGCUGAACCCUGAUAAAUGGAAAAUGGAACAAACUUUGCUGUCAUCUUUUAUCAACAUUACAAAUAUUUUCAUUUCUUUGCAAUCACUUUUGGCCUUGGAUGUGGAAUUGCUCUUUACAGACCCUAUCAUACGCUUGUGGUUCCAUUAGUCCUUGCUGUCAUGUUCACCAUAGUUUUUGAAAUUAUGGGCAUAAGCUGUGGUUUGCCAGCCCAUACUGCAAAAUGCAAAGGCCCACCUUAUGAUAAACGAGAUAUUUACUGGGGAUUUACAUUUGCACUUUUUGUGGCCAUUCUGCAUUCUAACGCAUACCAUGUCUAUACCCUGUCAUAUGGAUGUGGCUUAAUGGUGUUUGCACUUCGAGGGGCAAAACGGAAAUACAGCUUUUUAUGGGAGCUCAGGGACAGACAGAAGAACUGGUGGUAGUAGAAGAUAUUACAGCACAGAAUCCUAAAACACUUGAUAAAUUAUUUUUACUUUUAUGACUGAUCUAUCUGAUUUUGAUAUCUUAAUUUUUUUAACAACUUUCACUGCACAAAGUGCUUCACAUAAAAAGUUAACAAAAACAAAUAAAUAUACAGAUAAUACGAUACAUAGGAAAAGAACAA